UACGUAGGUGGCAAGCGUUGUCCGGAAUUACUGGGCGUAAAGCGCGCGCAGGCGGCUCUUUAAGUCUCGUGGUCAAAUGCCGGGGCUCAACCCCGAGCGUGCCGGGGAUACUGGAGGGCUGGAGACAGGUAGAGGCAAGCGGAAUUCCGGGUGUAGCGGUGGAAUGCGUAGAGAUCCGGAAGAACACCGGAGGCGAAGGCGGCUUGCUGGACCUGGUCUGACGCUGAGGCGCGAAAGCGUGGGGAGCGAACAGG
rnacentral:rRNA from 1 species